GUCCACGCUGUAAACGAUGAGCGCUAGGUGUUGUGGGUGUUGACCCCUGCAGUGCCGCAGCUAACGCAUUAAGCGCUCCGCCUGGGAAGUACGGCCGCAAGGCUAAAACUCAAAGGAAUUGACGGGGGCCCCGCACAAGCGGUGGAGCAUGUGGUUUAAUUCGACGCAACGCGCAGAACCUUACCUGGUCUUGACAUACUAGGAACCCGCCAGAGAUGGUGGGGUGCCCGCAAGGGAGCCUAGAGACAGGUGCUGCAUGGCUGUCGU
rnacentral:rRNA from 1 species